rnacentral:rRNA from 1 species
AACGAACGCUGGCGGCAUGCCUAACACAUGCAAGUCGAACGAGACCUUCGGGUCUAGUGGCGCACGGGUGCGUAACGCGUGGGAACCUGCCCUUAGGUUCGGAAUAACUCCCCGAAAGGGGUGCUAAUACCGGAUAAUGUCUUCGGACCAAAGAUUUAUCGCCUUUGGAUGGGCCCGCGUUGGAUUAGCUAGUUGGUAGGGUAAAAGCCUACCAAGGCGACGAUCCAUAGCUGGUCUGAGAGGAUGAUCAGCCACACUGGGACUGAGACACGGCCCAGACUCCUACGGGAAGCAGCAGUGGGGAAUAUUGGACGAUGGGCGAAAGCCUGAUCCAGCAAUGCCGCGUGAGUGAUGAAGGACUUAGGGUUGUAAAGCUCUUUUGCCCGGGAUGAUAAUGACAGUACCGGGAGAAUAAGCGCCGGCUAACUCCGUG